AGAGUUUGAUCAUGGCUCAGAAUCAACGCUGGCGGCGUGCCUAACACAUGCAAGUCGAACGAGAAAGUGGAGCAAUCCAUGAGUAAAGUGGCGCACGGGUGAGUAACACGUGACUAACCUACCCUUGAGUGGGGGAUAACUGAGGGAAACCUUAGCUAAUACCGCAUAAUACCUACGGGUCAAAGGAGCAAUUCGCUCGAGGAGGGGGUCGCGGCCGAUUAGUUAGUUGGCGGGGUAACGGCCCACCAAGACGAUGAUCGGUAUCCGGCCUGAGAGGGCGCACGGACACACUGGAACUGAAACACGGUCCAGACUCCUACGGGAGGCAGCAGUGGGGAAUUUUGCGCAAUGGGGGAAACCCUGACGCAGCAACGCCGCGUGGAGGAUGAAGUCCUUCGGGACGUAAACUCCUUUCGAUCGGGACGAUUAUGACGGUACCGGAAGAAGAAGCCCCGGCUAACUUCGUGCCAGCAGCCGCGGUAAUACGAGGGGGGCGAGCGUUGUUCGGAAUUAUUGGACGUAAAGGGUGCGUAGGCGGUUUGGUAAGUCUUGUGUGAAAUCUACAGGCUCAACUUGUAGUCUGCACGAGAAACUGCCGGGCUUGAGUAUGGGAGAGGUGAGUGGAAUUCCUGGUGUAGCGGUGAAAUGCGUAGAUAUCAGGAGGAACACCUGUGGCGAAAGCGGCUCACUGGACCAUAACUGACGCUGAUGCACGAAAGCUAGGGGAGCAAACAGGAUUAGAUACCCUAGUAGUCC
rnacentral:rRNA from 1 species